ensembl:snRNA U1 U1 spliceosomal RNA
AUACUUACCUGGCAGAGGAGAUACCAUGAUCAAGAAGAUACUUUUCCUAGGGUGAGGCUUAUCCAUUGCACUCCAGAUGUGCUGACCCCUGCAAUUUCCCCAAAUGUGGGAAACAGGGUUGCAUAAUAUGUGGUAGCAGAGGACUUUAUUGGAGCUCUCAC